rnacentral:misc_RNA from 1 species
UCGUAUAAAAUGGAGGUGCUCGGGCUGUCGCUGACCUUUGAAAAAGGGUCGUGCACGCCCGGAGUGCUCUCUCAUAUCCAUCUCACCCCUUUGUGCAUUGCCGCGUGGGUCCCCCUUUGCAGGAGGGUUCGCGUUUUCACAUCAAACUUGAUACAGUGUAGAAUGUUUAUUUUUGCGAUCACACGCAAUCAAUA